rnacentral:rRNA from 1 species
AUUGAACGCUGGCGGCAUGCUUUACACAUGCAAGUCGAACGGCCGCGCGGGCUUCGGCCUGGCGGCGAGUGGCGAACGGGUGAGUAAUGCAUCGGAACGUGCCCAGUAGUGGGGGAUAGCCCGGCGAAAGCCGGAUUAAUACCGCAUACGACCUGAGGGUGAAAGCGGGGGACCGAAAGGCCUCGCGCUAUUGGAUCGGCCGAUGUCGGAUUAGCUAGUUGGUGAGGUAAAGGCUUACCAAGGCGACGAUCCGUAGCUGGUCUGAGAGGACGACCAGCCACACUGGGACUGAGACACGGCCCAGACUCCUACGGGAGGCAGCAGUGGGGAAUUUUGGACAAUGGGGGCAACCCUGAUCCAGCCAUGCCGCGUGCGGGAAGAAGGCCUUCGGGUUGUAAACCGCUUUUGUUAGGGAAGAAAACCUCUGGGCUAAUACCCCGGGGGGAUGACGGUACCGGAAGAAUAAGCACCGGCUAACUACGUG